UACGGAGGGGGCUAGCGUUGUUCGGAAUUACUGGGCGUAAAGCGCACGUAGGCGGCUUUGUAAGUUAGAGGUGAAAGCCCAGGGCUUAACCCUGGAAUUGCCUUUAAGACUGCAUCGCUAGAAUUGUGGAGAGGUAAGUGGAAUUCCGAGUGUAGAGGUGAAAUUCGUAGAUAUUCGGAAGAACACCGGUGGCGAAGGCGGCAUCCUGGACCAACACUGACACUGAGGAGCGAAAGCCAGGGGAGCAAACGGG
rnacentral:rRNA from 1 species